rnacentral:rRNA from 1 species
GGACCAAGGAGUCUAGCAUGUGCGCGAGUCAUUGGGACUCUGAUGAAACCUAAAGGCGCAAUGAAAGUGAAGGUCCGCCUUGCGCGGACCGAGGGAGGAUAGGUCGUCCCGAGGGACUUCCUCGCACUCCCGGGGCGUCUCGUUCUCAUUGCGAGAAGAGGCGCACCCAGAGCGUACACGCUGGGACCCGAAAGAUGGUGAACUAUGCCUGGUCAGGACGAAGUCAGGGGAAACCCUGAUGGAGGUCCGUAGCGAUUCUGACGUGCAAAUCGAUCGUCGGAACUGGGUAUAGGGGCGAAAGACUAAUCGAACCAUCUAGUAGCUGGUUCCCUCCGAAGUUUCCCUCAGGAUAGCUGGCGCUCGCUUCUCGCGAGUCUCAUUCGGUAAAGCGAAUGAUUAGAGGCAUUGGGGUCGAAACGGCCUCAACCUAUUCUCAAACUUUAAAUGGGUGAGAUCUCCGGCUUGCUUGAACUGUGAAGCCGCGAGAUAUCGGAUCAGAGUGCCAAGUGGGCCACUUUUGGUAAGCAGAACUGGCGCUGUGGGAUGAACCAAACGCUGAGUUAAAGCGCCUAAAUCGACGCUUAUGGGAUACCAUGAAAGGCGUUGGUAACUUAAGACAGCAGGACGGUGGCCAUGGAAGUCGGA